rnacentral:lncRNA from 1 species
GGUUAAAAGAUCACCCCAGAAGCCUACAACUUUAUCCAACAGAGAAACUGCAGUAAGUCCAUCUCUCAAUUUGAAAACAAAAACAAAAAGAAGAAAGAGAGAAAACUGGCAAAUGAUGCUGAGCCUAAUACCACAAAAGCAAAAACUGAAGAAAGUACUUAAGCUUAUGAAGAAACAAACAGUUUGGAAAAGUCAAAAGACAGUGAGCUGCCCAGACUACCCUUAAGAACUCACUACUUGGAUGUUUAUGGACAUAAAGAGGUUUUAACGGUAGAUAGACUUGGACAACCACAUGCUGUUGGUCCCUGUGAGAUGUUCCUUCUGCUCUUCACAUUCCUUAAGAAGAACCAGAAGAAAGUGAUAGUCUUCUUGUCAUUGUGCAUUAUAUGUGAAGUGUCAUUGUAAGCUACUGGACUUCAUUGACUUACUGUCUUGGCCAUCCCUGAAAGGUAAAACCAAAAUAAGCAUUUCUGCCAUGCUGAUUCAGGAUUAUUGCUGUACACAGGUGUGGCAGGCAGAGGGCUGAACAUCCCUGAAAUGGACUAGAUUGUUCAGUAUGACCUUCCAGAUAACCCUAAUGAAUAAAUUCAUCCAGUGGAUCAAAGAGCCAGGGGUAUGAAUUAAAGAGGGUAUGUCCUGUUUAUUCUGUGCCCUGAAGAGUUAGGUUUCCUACAUAACUUGAAGAAAUCUAAGGCUCCACUAAAUCAAUAUGGCUUCUCCUUUUCUAAAGUUUCUGCUAGUUAGUCUCAGCUAUAAAAGCUAAUUGAAAAUAUUAGGAAGCAUAAAAGUCCUACCCAUAUGCAAGCAUAAGACUCCCAGUCUCUCAAGCAGAUCUUUAUUGUGAAUAACUUAAAUUUGCCUUAGGUUAAUUUGUGUUUUGGUUGUAAGUUCCCUUCUUUCAUUGAUCUGAAUGGAACAGUCUUGAUGGAAAGCUUUCCAAGAUAGAAGGUGGUGGUGGAUUUGGCUAUCAGAAAACAAAGAAAGUGGAGAAGUUUACAAUCUUUAAACAACAUCAGCAAGAAG